GACGAACGCUGGCGGCGUGCUUAACACAUGCAAGUCGAACGGAAAGGCCCUGCUUUUGUGGGCUUCCCGAGUGGCGAACGGGUGAGUAACAGGUGAGUAACCUGCUCUUGACUUUGGGAUAACUUCAGGAAACUGGGGUUACUAUCGUAUCGCAUCCCCUGUUGCAUUGUGGGCGUUGGAAAUUUGCGGCGGUUGGGGAUGGACUCGCGGCUUACCAGUUUGCUGGUUGGCUAGUGGCUUACCAAGGCAGUGACGGGUAGCCGGCAUGAGAGGGUGGCCGGCGACAUGGGUACUGAGAGACGGACCAGAGUGGUACGGGAGGCAGCGGUGGGGAGUCUUGUCCAAUGGGCGGAAGCCUGAGGCAGAAGCGCCGGGGGCGGGAUGACGGCCUGUGGGUAGUGAACAGCAUUCGCCUGAGACGAAGCGGUAGUGACGGUAAUGGAUGAAGAAGCACCGGCUAACUACGUG
rnacentral:rRNA from 1 species